CCUACGGGUGGCAGCAGUGAGGAAUAUUGGUCAAUGGGCUUAAGCCUGAACCAGCCAAGUCGCGUGAGGGAAGAAUGCCCUAUGGGUUGUAAACCUCUUUUGCCAGGGAGCAAUGCCGGCUACGAGUAGCCGGACUGAGAGUACCUGAAGAAAAAGCAUCGGCUAACUCCGUGCCAGCAGCCGCGGUAAUACGGAGGAUGCGAGCGUUAUCCGGAUUUAUUGGGUUUAAAGGGUGCGUAGGCGGGAUGUCAAGUCAGCGGUAAAAUUGCGGGGCUCAACCCCGUCCCGCCGUUGAAACUGGGGUUCGUGAGUGGGCGAGAAGGAUGCGGAAUGCGUGGUGUAGCGGUGAAAUGCAUAGAUAUCACGCAGAACCCCGAUUGCGAAGGCAGCCUUCCGGCGCCCUACUGACGCUGAGGCACGAAAGCGUGGGGAUCGAACAGGAUUAGAUACCCUUGUAGUC
rnacentral:rRNA from 1 species